rnacentral:rRNA from 1 species
UACGUAGGGUGCAAGCGUUGUCCGGAAUUAUUGGGCGUAAAGAGCUCGUAGGCGGUUUGUUGCGUCGGCUGUGAAAUCCCGAGGCUCAACCUCGGGUCUGCAGUCGAUACGAGCAAACUAGAGUGUUGCAGGGGAGACUGGAAUUCCUGGUGUAGCGGUGAAAUGCGUAGAUAUCGGGAGGAACACCCGUGGCGAAGGCGGCUCUCUGGCCUGUAACUGACGCUGAGGCGCGAAAGCGUGGGGAGCAAACAGG